CCUGGGUGCUUUUUACCAUGUUAUUAGAUUCCCAUUGAGUUUCUAUCUGUCCUAUAUCCAUUGUCCUUGACCUCAUUAUUGACCUUCCUGUGUCGAAAGUGGGAUGAUACGAGACUGGGAUUAUAGUCCUCCGUCAUUGCUGGUGUAAACUUUGUAUGAAGCUUAAAGCCUUUAUAUUUUAGAGAAUCGAAGAUUGAUGGGUUUUUUUCACCUUGAAUACAGACAGACCUUAUGCUACGAAAUUCCUGUCUGUCUUAUCUGUUAUCCUUGACCUUGAUCAUAGAUCAACCACAGCUUAAUAAGAAAGUUAAGUUUCUUUUUACACAC
rnacentral:lncRNA from 1 species